AUUGAACGCUGGAGGUAUGCUUAACACAUGCAAGUCGAACGUGAAAGCUCUUCGGAGUGAGUAGAGUGGCGGACGGGUGAGUAACGCGUAGGAAUCUACCUAAUAGUGGGGGACAACCUGGGGAAACUCAGGCUAAUACCGCAUGAACACUAAGGUGUAAAGAAGGCCACUAUUUAUAAGCUUUCGCUAUUAGAUGAGCCUGCGUCGGAUUAGCUAGUUGGUAGGGUAAAGGCCUACCAAGGCGACGAUCCGUAGCUGGUCUGAGAGGAUGAUCAGCCACACUGGGACUGAGACACGGCCCAGACUCCUACGGGAGGCAGCAGUGGGGAAUAUUGGACAAUGGGGGCAACCCUGAUCCAGCAAUACCUCGUGUGUGAAGAAGGCCCUAGGGUUGUAAAGCACUUUCAAUUGGGAAGAAGGGUGAGUAAUUAAUAGUUGCUUAUCUUGACGGUACCAAUAGAAGAAGCACCGGCUAACUCCG
rnacentral:rRNA from 1 species